UAAGGAGUCAGUUUGGGUCACUUUGUAGGAAUACAAUCGUCUAUGACAUCCCAAAGACGUUACCGGUGGUUCACUAUUGAUGGGCUCAAGUUGUACUACUUGAGAUGCCAGUACGCAAAACAAGGGCGCUCCAAAAAAAAAUAAUCGGAUAGCCUGUUGUCAUUGUUAUGGUCGAUGGUUCCCUCGGUCAGUAGACUCCUCUUACUGCAGGGCCUAUAGAAAGCACUAUCUAUUUAUAUGACUUUCUAUUUUGCUUAUGGCGUCUGCGCUCGAGGUUCUGACUGCAACCCCUCUGCUCACUCUAACUACUUCAGCGCGUUCAUAAAUGCUUUGCAUAAUUGGUUGCAUUGUAUAAUUCAGUCUAUGUACAAUUUCUGGUUCGUUUAGUUUUUAAGCACUUUCCAAGCGGAUAAAAUGGUAAAAUAUACGUGAUAGCAAAAAAGCUACCAAUAUAUUAAUUCAGGUUUCUAUACACAUUUUUAUAUGCAUGAGUAACAAAAACUAAAUAAAAUAAUGGAUUUUAAGGAACAAUUUCCAUGAUCAUUUUUAAAAUAACGUUCAUAUUGUUUAUGCUUUUAUUUAUUCAUCAGAGCUCGUAAAAAUGGGUCUCACUCGUGCUUUUUGUCAGAAAAAAUCCUGUCAUCAACUGGCCCUAUACGAAACCUAUACUUAAACCUCUCAAAUUCGGUCUCAUUUUGCUUUGCCUCCGACUCAACUGUCAACCAAUUUUUUUGACCUGUCGGGUCAUAGGUUUACUGACGAGCGUUUGCUCUAAAAAUUCUAGCAAGCAGUCGUAUGCAUGUAUGUUUCUAUGUACCGCUGACCAUAUCAAUUCCAUAUAAAUUGUUAGGCUUAAUUCAUAAAAUUUUAGUUUUAAUAAAAAAUAUGAGACUGAUA